GGAGCGUGUUUUCUAAGGAUCUUCAGAUUUGAGUCCUUGGCAUUAGAAAUAAAGCACAUUUUUUUUUUCUUCCCAUGAGUCUGAUUCUUCCAACAGAAUGGAAAAACAAUCCUUUGGUAUAUUAACUUGUCUCAAAAUCUACCUCCAUUGAUCAGUUAAUAGAGAUUUUGCCUUUGCAUUAAUAAUUUUUCUCACAGAAAGCAGAUUAAUAACCAAGAAACAUUACUAAAGGAAUCUGCUUAUGAAAUCUGAAAGAAUAAUAGGUCAUAAUACUAAUCAUAUGUAAUAAAACUAUGAUCAUUCUUUGACAAGGAAAUUAACAUUGUAAAAAAAAUUUAGACUCUGACUUUUGGUACCAUAAUAAAAGUCUAUAUAUGUAUACUGCUCUGUAAUUAAAAAAAAACUCUUAUACAUUAAUCCUUCUUGAGAUGCAUAAUAAUCCUUUAAAUGGAAUAGACAUUAUUUAAACUGAACCUGAGAAAUAGACAUAUUCAUUACAGUUCAGCAAGAAAAUGGCAAAGAAUCAACCGCAGCCUACUUUUUUCUGGGUCUUAAGUGCUCUUGCCACCAUCAUGUGAUGUCAUGUGCUUUUGCCAUAGUUAAUAAUAAUGGCAUUGUGCCCCAGCCUGAGGCACACUUGAGUUUCAUAUUUGUUCAUAGAAAAAAAUCUGAUUUCACCACCAGUCAUAGGAUCUAGACUCAAGGCCUUUCCUCACUGAUUACUUUUCAUUAUAGAAAUAGAAACAGAACCUUGAUUCCUACAUUUGCAUGCGGGUGGGGUUGGCCUUUAGCUUUAACACAACAAUACUUUGGUAAAUGGUGUCAUAAGCCACAGAAGCUAGUGGUAAUCUAAUCUACCAUUUAUCUCUUGCCAAGUUCAUGUUGAGUAAAAUCUUCAUAGGGAUUUAUGCUUCUGGAGGCCAAGGUGGUUUACAUGGCUGCCUGAGGAUCCCUGAGGGUAGAGGAGGCCCUGACCUGCCCCUGCUUCCUGUGUUCCUUACUCAUUUCCUCAUCUAGAAAUACCUUGCAGUGUUGGGCUUUCGGGGCACACAGGUUCGUGUUGGUUGAAGAGGCUGGAAGGGGACUUUUCCUGUUGAGAUUUGCAUAGUUGGUGCUUCAGAGCGUUCCUAUCCGCCACGCCUUGCUUUUCCUUCAGUUCCGUCUUAGCUAGUAGAAGACUCUUCUUAAGCACGACAAAAUUCUUGAGGUGCAGUCUCCUUUGAAGUCAGAGUCCAAAUCCAUUGUAUAUUUUCAUAGACUCUUUUAGGUCUUUAAAGAACAUUUUUGGUGGUACUAUACUUAGAUCAUCAUAGAAAUGAAAAUAUUUUUAAUUUAAAAAAGUAUCAGAUUUGUUAACCACUGCACCACGACGGGAACUCCUAUUCCAAAUCUUUUAUUACAUAAAAGAUGCUCAUAUAAUAUUGAGUGUGAAAAACUAGGUGCAGAGCAGUGUGAAUAUUGUGAUCCUAAUUUCUUGAAAACCAUACAAAAAUUAAAAAAAGAACCAAUAGUAAUUUUUAAUUAAUAAUGUGUUGCCAGGCAUUGUUUUACGUGCUUCAUGUGUAUCCACUCAGUUAAUGCUUAUAUCAACCCUAAGAGAUAGGUACUGUUUUUAUUUUUGUUUUACAGAUGAGGACAUUGAGGUAUAUGAAAGUAAGUUUGUCUAGAGUUACAGAGAAAGGAUUGGAGUCACCGACUAGGAGGAAACAGUUCAAAAUAUCAAUAGUGAUUAUUUCUGGACAGUGGUGUUAUAGGUCAAUAUAAUUCUUUACAUCUAUGAUACAGAAUCUCUAUUCUUGAUGUAAUUAGUAAUAGCAUUUUUAAAAGAUAUUGAAGCAUGUUUGGAAUCUAGAAAAACAACGAGUACGUUUGUAGGUUUGAAUUUCAAAGAAUGCCUUUUCUUUCAUAUAUCUGAAACAGACAUUGUAUUUGAUUAAAAGGGGUGGGGGAGACCCAAAACCAAUCCUUUCUAUCACUACGAUCUCUCUAUGUGAUAACCUCUCCGUAUAUGUUUAUCAGUUUUCUUUUAUGGAUAAGGAGAACAAGACCUUCUUUAGUUCAUGAUCAAACAUUAUAAAGCACAAUCCAGGAAACUGGUUUUGAUCAAACCAGGUUUUGUUUGAAUGCUGAAGUACUUCACCGGUCUUAGAAAGUAUAAAGGUACAUACGCAAUAGAACAUCUUCAGGAAAUGGACACUUUCCUUUCUGGAAAGUACAGCCUCAAAGGCAAAAAUACUUAAGAACAAUAUGUUCUCUGUUGUUGUGUUUUAACUUGCAACCCUUCUCUCUUGCUUUCAUUUCCACUCUUCCUUUCCCUUCAGAAAACCACCCAAUCAACCAACUAAUUAGCCUCAAUUUGUUAAAGGUUGAUAACAUUUUGAGUUUCAUUAGCAAUGAUGGCUGUACUUUGCUACAGUGUGCCAGGCAUUCUGCUGAAUGCUUUCUGUGAGUCAGCAAUUAUAGAUUAGAUGCCUAGGGUUCGAAUGUGGCUCAGGGUUUGGCCCACAGUAAGACCACAGUGUUUGGAAUCGAAUUAUUUGGAGAUAUGAUCUAAAAUUCUUGAUUUGUAUUUUUCGUCGAAAAGAAUUGGACCUCCUAGCAAUCCCCUCAACUUUGUUUAUAUUCCUUGCCAGGCUCCUGUUGUCUUUUUUCUUUUUUGGAUCCCUGAUGUUAUUUUAUAAGUCCACUUAAACUAGAGGGGGAGCAGCUGGGUCAAGGAUCCAUCAUUAGUAAAAAGUCCUGUUGGACUUGGGAGCCUGUGUGCUUGCUGCUCUUCUGCUCUCAUAGCUCUUCGUGGCCACUCAGUUUCCAUGCUGGGCAUGACUGUUGUGACUCAUGUCACAGUCUUUUGUCAGGGUCUUAGUCAAGUCAGAUGGCCUUUCUAGUUACUUAGUCCCUUCCUAUCCUCCUCAGAAGGGAUAUGUGUGGCUGCUUUGUUUCUUCGGUUUUGAAUAAAUUAUUAUUACUAUUUUUGCUUUUUACGGCCUCAUGUGUGGCAUAUGGAGGUUCCCAGACUAGGAGUAAAAUUGGAAUUACAGCUGCCGGCCCAUGCCAUAGCCACAGCAAUGCAGGAACUGAGCCACAUCUGCAACCUAACCCACAGCUCACAGCAAUGCCAGAUCCUUAACCCACUGAGCAAGGCCAGGGAUCGAACCUGCAACUUCAUGAUUCCUAGUCAGAUUCGUUUCUGCUGCCCUACAACGGGAACUCCAAAUAAAUUAUUUUUUGAGGAUGAGGCAGAAUAUGGUUAGUUUGAAAGGAGCCAUGGUUUUGAGAAUAACAUAGUUUAAGAAUGAGAACAUUAGUCAUGAGAUCCUGGUAGACUGUCAGAUGCUGGGAAGACUUGGCCAUGUGACAGCUCCAUGUGGAUAAUGAUGAUUGGGGGUUUGUGUUUGUUUUCCUAAGAAAUUCACUAUUUCACCACCUUUACAGGAAAUUAUACCCAUCAUUCCUUCAACUCUGUACAGUUUUUUAUUUUUAAAAUAAAAAUACAUUAAAUUUUUUUUUUAAUGUAGAAGUAUAUAGUGAAGAGGAAAGGCACUUGUUUAUUUGAAUAAUCAGGUAAUAGACGUGAAAGGAAUUACAAGUCAUGGACUGGUUGUUCCAGCCCCAUCUCUGCUCCCACAGGAAGGCUCACAGUAAACAGUGGCAAACUUGUAAACAAUGGAAAAUGAGGUGUAUGUCUCCGCUGGAUUCCAGAUCGUUCCUGGUUGUUUAGUUGCUAAUGGUGUCAGAGCACCCAGGUCUCCCUGCAUGGAUUCUCUCUGGAUGUUGUUUCCACAGGAGAGGGACUCUUAACGCUGACUCGAAGACAGUUUGAGUGUAUUAUGGCUGUGGCCUAAAAGCUGACAUUCAGAAGUAAACUGAAAGCUGAUGUGUACUCAGGAAAGGGUUUGUUGAUGUGGCAUCUGCUUUUCGAUGCUGAGAAUCUAGUUACAUAUCUCAGAGAAAAGCUUUCAGGUUUUGCCCUGCCUUUGGAAAACAUUUGAAAAGUGAGCAAAUGAGGUUGUUCCUGCUGUGGUGCAGUGGGUUAAUAAUCUGAUGUUGCCUCUGGUGGCAAGGGCUUGAUUCCCCGGCCCUGUGCAGUGAGUUAAGGAUCCGGUGUUGCAGCUGCGGGUUGGAUUUGAUAUCUGGCCAAGGAACUUUCAUAUGUGCAGGUACAGCCAAAAAAAAAAAAAAAAAAAAAAAAAAAAA
rnacentral:lncRNA from 1 species